GAAUGGAUAAAUCUUGACAUGGCCAUUACAACUCUUCCCUCCUCUCAUCACCUCCAUUUCUGCUUCUUCUCUUCAUCAUCUUCCAAAUUCUCAAUCACUACACAAUUAUGCCUAAAUUUUCCCCCGAAGAAUCGUAUUUCACUCGUCAUUUGUUCUUCUUCUACUUCGCCCCCUCCGCCAUCAUCGUCGUCGCCCCAAGUCAGUGAACCCACUCCCACUGCUGAGUCCUGUGUCAAUGCCGGCCUCGACCUCUUCUCUAAAGGACGGGUGAAAGAUGCUCUUGUGCUAUUCGACACAGCACUUACUUUAAAUCCCAACCCUGAGGAGGCUCAAG
rnacentral:misc_RNA from 1 species